rnacentral:lncRNA from 1 species
GAGAGACGACGAGAGGCAGGCAUGCAUGCAUGCAUGCAUGGCGACGAUGAGAUGAGAUAGAUCAGGAGGAGCACUGGAAUCCCGAGGGGACGCGCCUGCCGCAGUAGUUGACGAGGAGGCUGAGGUUGAUGGGGAGGUUGAGGUUGAUGCCCAGGAUGUUGGCUCGCAGCGCGGUGCAGAGACACACCGCCGCCUCAAGGUCCGCCAGCCCCUGGAUCAGCGUGCAGCACGGCGUCCUCGGCGGUGUCCCCAGGUUCACGUUGAUCAGCCCGUUCAGCACGUUGGCGCACACGCCCAACUUCAGCGUGUCCACAGGGCAACGACCGCGCGUCCCGCCGCCGCCGCCGCCGCCGCCGCCGCCUCCUCCGCCGCUCCCUCCUCCACCACUGCCGCCCCCACCGCUCCCUCCGCCGCCUCCGCUCCCACCACCACCAGAUCCUCCGCCUCCCCCGCCUCCACCUCCCCCGCCACCACCGCCUGGUGGACUAGGGCAGGAGCCGCCGCACCUGCAGCCACAUGCGUCGGCGAAACCGAACAAGAGGAGGUUCAGGGCCAGCAGCGAGGCCACCAAGGCCACUUUCUUCGCCAUCUCGCUACCACCACGUACUCCUACGUACGUACGCAGCACACAGCAGUCGUAGCUUGGUUUCUAGCGUACCUGCAGAUCAGACUGCAGGUCGCUAGUGUGUGUGGUACGGUGUGGGUGUGUCUCUGCUGAUCUGCUGCCUGGAACUGCAACUUGUGAGCGGAUCGCAGCAGCUUGCUGGGGGUGCUAGCUAUUUAUAGCCGGCCGAAGAGCACAGCGCAGCAGGAGCCCUAUUAUGAUGAUUAGUACUAGUAUUAAUUAUAUAGCUAGCUAGGCGACGAGCAUCAUGUGAGGGUACAAGAGAUGAUCGAGAUGUAUAUCGACACGGCGGACGAGUUGCCUCUAGCUAGAAUGAAGUGUAUAGUACUAGUAUACCGUCGCAGACUGUAUGUGCGUAGAAUAUAUGGACAGUACGGAUGGUCAUCGAUCAGGGCUCAUGCAUAGUCAGUCUUCUGAAUGAUAGAAAAGCUAGGCGCGCGGUGAGUAGCAGCCAGUGCGUGGUGUCGGCUUGAGCAUAUGGCACGGCGUGACCUACAACAUCCGGUCCUAGAAAGGUGAAAAGCUAGCUAGCUGGCACGAGGAAGAAGACAAUGGGGUGGGCUUUGGAAGCUUGUGUUUGUGUCCCGGCCGGGUGUGUCACGUUAUAGUGCUUUGGAAAGACGGGUGUACUGCAUGCAUGCAUGCUUUGCAAUUGCCAUGGCUACAGCACUCACUGCACAGUCAUCAUCACUUAUUAUUAGCUUGUAGUAGUGGUGCUGUAAAGCAGAAAGUAGCUAAGCUUUCAUUUCACAAUCAGCCACACGUACGUACAGUGAAAUAGCAAGAAGAACUCCGAUGUAUCCUCCAGCAGGCAGCAGCUCUGUCUCUGUCGUCGUCUGUGUGAUCGAUCAACUUUCCAGAUGGCCGGCCGGCCGGAUGGCAUGCAUCAUUUUGAUUCACACUGCAUGCACUGGUGGCCGCUAUAUAUAUCAGAAUAAUCACGCAUAUGCCAUGGUGUUUUACCAGCAGUAGGUAGGUGCCGGUGGUGGUGCAGGUCGCAGCUAGCUGUGUAUGUCGAAAUUGCAUGGCAUGCAUGGUGUGUGGUGUGUGUGUGUGUCAUGCCAUCAUGCAUGCAUGGCUAAUAGAUUAACUGUUGGCUAUCGCGUGUCAGCAUGACAUAUCUCGAUCGCGAGCGAGCAGAGCAUGGCAUGCUUAUGCUCCGCCGGUCCGAGACCGAUCAUUCAUCACUGUUCAGUCACUACGCCGUAUUUGGAUGGAAAAUAUAUACAGAUCGAUUUCGGUCAAACAAUAACAAGAAGAUACUUCUAGAUAAAGGCGUAUUUAGUUAGAGAUGUUAAUGUUUAACAGGUAUUAUACUAUUUUUUAUUUAAUAAUUAAUGUCUAAUAUAUAUAAACUAAUUAGAGUUAAAAAGUUUAUCUCAUAAUUUAUUUUUUAGCUAUGUUUUUAGUUUUAUAAAUAGUCUAUAUUAAAUACUUUAUACUUGUGUGGGAGUUAAAGUUUAAGAACGCCGAUGAAACAGCUAGCACCUAAAUAUAUAUAAGACUACACGUAGCUAUAUAUUAGUACUGUAGAGGACUUUCCCGGGCUCACACUGCUGGCUGCACAUGCGACGCCUACACGUACGACAAAUGCGAAAUGAACGCGGUGGAUAGGUGUCUGCGUGCAUGCAUGCCUGCCGUGCGCACGACUGACGUACCUGACAAAGAUAAUCCAUUUGCAUGAUCGGUGCGUUUUACGGAUGGAUGUGCAUGUAUAUAUGUUCGUCCACCGCGCGCGCGGAUCCGAUGAUGGAGAUGCAUGCAUGGAUCCACUGCACUGCACAUGCCGCGCCGCGCGCCGCCGUUCAGCCGGCGCAGUAGUAUUAGUAUGGUCGCAUGCACGCGGUUUACGACGAACGACGACACGGAUCAUGCAUGCGUCUUCCUAGCUGGCCUGGGGAAUCCGCGCAUUCCAUCAUUCCAUGCACGGACCCGGAUUAUACUCUCACAAUCCAUCGGUACGUACGGUGAGCAUGCACGCACACGCACGACUACACGUCGCCACCACCACCUUCAUAAUGACAUGAGGAGCCCUGUAAAUAAUAAUACUAAUACAUCGAUGGUGCGCUAGCCUAAUCAGGACGCAAAGUAGCAGGCACCGCAUGCGCACCUCUCUGAGAUUGUUAAUUAGUCCCAUACAUACGUGCAUCCAUGCCGACACAAGCAGCUUAGCACCCGCACGUACGAGAGAGCUAGUCGUGGUAUGGUACAAAUUUUAGGCGCGUAACGGCGCAAGUACGGUCAACCUCGGAAAUCCUGCCGGAUUUCGAUAUAAUUUCGCCACGAAGGGUGCAUGCAUGCAUGCAUAUAUGCAUGACAGUGUGUGUAUGUGGCCAUGCAAACAUAACUACUUUAAAAAUUUAUCUAGGACAAGGGACCAAUGUCUACUAUAGUUCUAACAACGCUCCACGGACCCUAACGACGACGCUCCACCGACGUUUUCACGUAGUUCGAUCGGACAAUUACAUCAACUAACUGUAAUGAAAAAUUAAUGCUUUGUUACUGUCAGCACCUCUACAGCAAAACCGAAGAAAACAACAACGCCAACUCAAGCGAACCGUGAUGGAGCGACAAGGCCAAGAAGGCCCAACCCAAGAAUCUGUGGACUAGAGUAGGCUAAGUAGGCGAAAGGCCCUGCGUGGCCCAAUUCAGAGGUGGUGCUGCGGCUACCUCUUGUAACAGCAGAGAAAGAGAAAGGAGACUCGAACCGGAACUUAGUUCUGAACCAUGCCCGAGGGCGACGGCAGCGGCGGCGAGCUCGGCGAUCUUGUUGAUCAGACAGAGUUACCGACUGAUGUUCCUCGUAUCGUUACCAUACACUAUCAAUACUUAGAGUCCGGUUACAUCUAGUAUCAGAUCUGCCUUGAUCCACCAAUUUUCCCCCAAAAAUUUUCUCUCUUCCUUUGUUGUUCGAUCUGGCACCGUAAUCCCCGACGGUAGGCUCUCUUAGCGAUUUGCCCUAGUGGUGUCAAUUGCUCGAAUCCAUAGGUCCGUACCGAGGUUGGUGUGUUCGACAGCAGUGGUAGAGUCGGAAUCCUGGCCACCCAUCCCUACCUCACCCGAAGACACAUGGCGAUGACCUCUCCUGAAGAACAGCUGGGCAAAAUUUUGGCACUGCUGAGUGAGAAUUCGAAGGGCAUCAAUGACUUGAAGACCUCCAUGUCGGAGAUGUGUACACUGCGCAUGGAGAUCCUUACCUAGAAGCCUCAGGUCAACAGUCGUGUGCACGAGUUAGAGCACACGGUCUUGGACCUGGGCGAGCGCAUUGAGAAGGUGUUCGAGAAUCUGCCUCACGCUCAACUCGUCGACGCCUCUACCAAUGAGCAGCUCGACGCUUAGCCUUCCCUCAACGACACGGUUCGUGAAGAUCACUUCACCCCAUAGGGCGUCAAGGUGUUAAGCUCCGCUCAUCUAGAGCUUCACCCGCCAUGGGUGGCAUCUAGGUCGUUAGACCACAGCAAGAGCAACAACCACUGGGGCACUGCUUUCGGGACGGUGUAUAUCACCAUCUCGGAACCGGCCCCGAUCAUAGGUGCGACACCCCCUCUAAAACCUUCCUUACUUCAGUCUAAAUUGGGUGGCUGUGUGCACGGUGAUUAGCGUUUCUAUCCUAUUUACUCAAACUAUCCCACACCAUUCCCCUGAUGUUGAAUUUCAUAAAUUUGAUGGGUCAAAUCCUCGCCUGUGGAUCACUCGUUGUGAAACCUAUUUUGAUGUGUGUCAAACUGACCCAACCUUGUGGGUUCGCCUUGCAACCAUGUGUUUUACCGGUUCUGCUGCCUCGUGGUUCCAAACCAUGAAAUCCACUAUCACUAAUAUGUCCUGGGAAUCCUUUGUCAUAGCCGUUUGUAAUCAAUUUGACAGAGACGAACAUAACCACCUCCUUCGCCAUUUUUUCCACAUCAAACAGAGUACCAUAGUUUCUGACUAUGUCGAACAAUUUAGUGACUUAGUCCACCAAAUCCUUGCUCACGACCCAUCAUUCUCAACAUCUGUCAUUGUUAAUCGCUUUGUUGAUGAUCUCAAGAAAGAUAUCCGUUCUGUUGUUAUGAUGCAUCAUCCAUUAGACCUCGAUACUGCUAGUGCAUUGGUAUUUUUGCAGGAGGAUGCCAGCCUUUAAGAUGGUUGGAGAUUGGCCAAUAUUAUGCCAAGAAGAAUUCACCUGAAUCUCUCAAGUCAGCAGUUUCAAAUGCUAAAUCUCUUGAAGAGAAGAAGCCUCCUGAUAUUACAAGAGCCAAAACUAAUGACAAACUGGUAGCUCUCAAGAAGUACAGGCGUGCCCAAGGACUAUGUUUCAAAUGUGGCGAGAAAUGGGGACCCAACCAUAAGUGUCCAGCUCAUAUUUCAUUCCAUGCUAUUGAAGAAGUCUAGAAUUGGAUUAGUGACGAGGAAGAACCAAAAACACAGAUACUUGAUGAUAAUUCUGAUUCAGGGGAAGAUCUUAUGACACUUUUUGCACAAGCUGUCAAUGGUACAGAAGGUUUCCAAACAAUGAGAAUUAGGGGACAUUUGAAUGGUAAAGACGUUUUUAUGCUCACUGACUCAGGUAGUUCUCAUAGCUUUGUGGAUGACAAAGUUGCAGAUCACAUUCAACCAUGGCAACCACUACAAAUAUCAGUUAGGGUGGCAGUUGCCAAUGGAGGUGUUAUCAGUUGUACUCGCGAGUUUAACAAACAAUUAUGGGUUGUGCAAGGUUACUCACUCAAUACUACCUUCAAAAUCAUCCCAUUGAGUGGCUAUGAUGUCAUACUAGGAAUGGAUUGGCUAGAAUCCAAUAGUCCCAUGGAAAUCAAUUGGGUAGACAGAUGGUUACAGUUUCAAUACCAAUGCCAAGUGAUCAAGCUACAAGGAUUAAUCUCAAAACCCGUACUGGGCUCUUCAGUUUCAUCCCUACAAUUGCAAGCAUUUGAAAAGAAUUAAUCCAUUCUAUAUGCAGUUGAGCUACAUUCUAUUGCCCCAGCUGAAAAUCCUAUUGAGGAGGAAUUACCAACAAAACUCAAGCAACUCUUAAAACAGUUUGCACCUAUCUUUGAACCACCUACCAAUUUGCCACCUAUCAGACUGGGAGAUCAUAAAAUUCCCCUUAUGGAUGGUGCACAACUUUUCUGUUUACGCCCAUACAGAUAUAAUCCUGCUCAAAAAACAGAAAUUAAAGCUCAAAUCAAAGAUAUGUUAGACAAAGGGUGGAUUCAGCAGAGCACCAGUCCUUACUCUUCUCUAGUGCUUUUAGUCACAAAGAAGACAGGAGAUUGGCGCCUUUGUGUAGACUAUAGACGAUUGAAUGCAUUUACAAUCAAGAACAAAUACCCAUUGUCCAUUAUAGAAGAACUGUUAGAAUAGCUCCAAGGUGCUACUUGGUUCACAUCUCUUGACCUUUGCUCUAGGUUUCAUCAGAUACGUAUGGCUGCCCGUGAAGAAUUUAAAACAACAUUUCAGAUAUAUAGUGGACACUAUGAGUACAGGGUCAUGCCAUAUGGAGUCACUGGGGGUCCUACAACAUUCCAAACAAUCAUGAACACGGUGUUACACCCAUUGUUGAGGAAAUGUGCAGUGGUCUUUAUUGAUGAUAUACUAAUUUACAAUAAAUCAUGGCCUGAACAUUUGGAGCAUAUCAAGGUUGUUUUGACUCUUUUACUCCACCAUGGCUUCCAUAUUAAACUUACUAAAUGCAAUUUUGCUAAAAGAUAGUUGAGCUAUUUGGGUCAUAUUGUCAGUGAACAAGGUGUAGCAACUGAUCCCACAAAAAUCCAAACAAUCAAGAACUGGCUUCAACAUGAGAAUGUCAAGGAAUUGCGUAGUUUCCUUGGUAUGGCAGGCUAUUACAGGUGUUUUGUACCACAAUUUGGCAUGAUCAACAAACCACUCACAAAUAUUUUGAAGAAGGGAACUAUAUUCAUCUGGACAUCUACCACUAGGACUUCAUUUCAAGCACUGAAACAUGCACUUAUAUCAGCUCUAGUGCUAGCAAUGCCAAAUUUUGAAUUGCCAUUCAUUAUUGAGACAAAUGCAUCUUCUCAUGGCAUAGGAGCAGUCUUACAACAGCAGGGACACCCAAUUGCUUAUGUCAGCAAAGCCUUAGGAGUCAAGGCAUAAGGACUUUCCACAUAUGAAAAAGAGUGCUUAGCAAUAUUAAUGGCAAUUGACCACUGGAGGCAUUUCCUACAAACAUCGCCUUUCAUUAUACUUACUGAUCAACAAAGCUUGACACACCUUGAUGAUCAAAAACUAUCCACACCAUGGCAGCAUAAAGCACUCACAAAACUAAUGGGCAUGACAUACAAGAUUAUCUACAAAAAAGGCACUGACAACAAGGUUGCUGAUGCUUUAUCCAGACUCCAAAAAUCACCAGUUUAUGAUAUUUCUGCUAUUUCUGUCCUCAAACCACUUUGGUUGGAAGAUAUUCAGAAGACUAAUGAGCAGGACCCUAAUUGCAGUAAACUUCUAACUGAACUUGCUAUAUCUUCUCCAUCCAAUCAGUACUCAUUACAAGAUGGACUUAUCAAAUACAAGGGCAGUUUAUGGAUUGGCAAUAGUCAACAAAUGCAGCAAAGAAUUAUGUCAGUAUUGCAUAAAAGUCCAAUGGGAGGACACUCUAGCUCUGAAGUCACAUAUAAGAAAGUUAAGCAGUUAUUUGCAUGGCCCAAACUCAAAUAGACAGUACAACAGUUUGUUGAGCACUGCACUAUCUGUCAACAAGCCAAAAAUGAAAGAGUAGCAUACCCUGGUCUAUUGGCUCCCUUACCAUUUCCUAAAGGAGCUUAGUAAAUAGUAACUUUGGACUUUAUUGAAGGUUUACCCAGGUCCUCUUCAUUCAACUGCAUCUUAGUGGUGGUAGAUAAAUUCUCCAAGUAUGCCCAUUUUAUACCACUAUCUCACCCAUUCACUGCCCUGCAAAUUGCCAUCAUAUUGUUGAACAACAUUUUCAAACUUCAUGGCUUACCCCACAAACAAUGAUAUCAGACAGGGACAAGGUGUUCACUAGCACUAUCUAGCAAGAAUUGUUCAAGCUUGUGGGAAUAGACCUGAGGAUGAGCAGUGCAUAUCACCCACAAACAGACGGACAAACGGAGAGGGUCAACCAGUGUUUGGAAACAUAUCUUCAUUGCUUUGUGCAUGCCUGCCCCACAAAGUGGUCUCAAUGGUUAUCAUACUGGUAUAAUACCUCCUUCCACUCUUCUUUGGGACAAACUCCUUUUACAGUCCUCUAUGGAUAUGAGCCUCGUCAAUUUGGCAUUGACAUGUCCCAAGCUGUUCAGUCUGCUGAUCUCACUAAAUGGCUACAAGAUCGUGAAUUACUACAACAACUUGUCCGACAACACCUUAUUCGGGCUCAAUCUAAAAUGAAGGUACAAGCUGACAAACACCACACUGAUAGAGUAUUCAAUGUGGGUGAUUCAGUAUAUCUCAAAGCACAACCUUACGUUCAAACAUCUCUAGCUCCUCGCUCUUCCAACAAAUUGGCAUUCAGAUUCUUUAGACCAUUCAUCAUCACUGAUCGUGUUGGCCCAUCUGCAUAUCGCCUGAAACUGCCAUCAGAAUGUCUCAUCCAUCCGGUCCUUCAUGUAUCAAUGCUGAAGAGAGAUGUUCUAGCAAACAAUCAGGUUCAUGAGCUUCCUAACUUUGAACAUGAGUUGCAUGUUCCUGAAGCUAUACUUGAUCAGCGUCUCAAGCGUGACCGUGUGAAAGGUCCUUGUUUGGUUUUGGUAAUUGAGUGACAACUUAGGUGGACUAAUAGUGUUUAUGUGAGAUACACAGGAGAUUAGUCCACAGGUGAUUAUAUGAUGAUGGAGGAGCUCAUUGCAUAUGAGACAUGACAUGGAGUCAUGUGACCAAGGUGGAGAAGAUCAAGAUGAGGCUUGGCUUGAUGGACCGGUUGCAAGAGUGAAGGGCAAGUCGAAGGCUUUGAAGCGAGGGACCACGUGUGACGGUGAAGCUUGAGCAAGACUUGGCGCCGAUGGACCGAGGCAACGGUGAAGAGCAAGUGAGGUCAAGAUCGAUGAACCAAUACAGUCACGUGAUGAUAUGAAGUGGAUCAUAUCAUUUGGUGAUUGGUUGGUGCAUGUGUUGCAUCAACAUUGGAGGAGACGGAAUGGAAUGCGCAAGGCAAAGGUAUAACCUAGGGCUUUUCCAUUUCACCGGUCAUAGGUGUGUAGAGAAGUUUAUGACCGGAUUUAGGAUAGAUGGCCGUACUAUCAAGAGGGGCAAACUUGUUUGCAUAUCGGUCAUCUAGUGCCACUUGAGCAAUCUAACUUUGCAUACGUGUUAAGAUCGAGUGGCGUGACAAGUUGAGAGGCUAACUCCUUUGGAAAAUUGUUUGUGAAAAUGCUAACACACAUGCACAUGGUGGUGUACACUUGGUGGUGUUGGCACAUUUACAAAGGAGGUGGAGUUCCUAGGGUUGAGAGGGGUGUGGGUUCCUCAAGCUCGGCGGGAUUCGACGCUUUUGAGAAAAUUAAGUGCAUAUUUUCUAUUGCGCCGGUGGGAAAUUUGGAGAAAUCGCGGGAGUGUUUCUCAGUAGGAAACACUCACCGGACGCUCUGCGCGGAGGCACCGGAUGCUGGCCUUUAGCGUCCGGUGUGCUGUCGGAUGCAGCAGAGUGCACCGGACGCACCGGAGAGAGUCCGGUGCUCAGCGUCCGGUGUGCGGGCGGUUUGGCGACCCUCUCUGCGCAUGAGUCCGGUGAGCACCGGACGCUCAGGGUGCGUCCGGUGGCUUGCGUCCGGUGACCGUGCGAGUUUGCGGAGCUCUCUGCGCACGAGUCCGGUGUGCACCGGACGCGUCCGGUGUGGACUAGUUGAGCGUCCGGUGGUGCUGUGUCAGGCGCGAGCGCGUGGUAGCCGUUGGCGGCAACGGUCGACUUCAAACGGCUAGUGACACGUGGCUGACACCUGAGCACCGGACGCUGCGGGUUGAGCGUCCGGUGGCUCCCUGUGAGCGUCCGGUGCCCACGUGUUUUGCCCAGUGAAGGGGCAACGGCUAGUUUAGCCCUUGGGGCUAUAAAUAGAAGUGGUGGCCGGCCUUGGCCGGUGCGGAGCACCCUUGGGACUUAGUGUCCAUGCUUGGGGAGUGCUAGUGAAGCCUCUAACUCACAUAUGCUUGAUAGUGAUCAUCCGAUUGUGUGAGUGAGCGAUUCUAGUGCGUUGCAUUGAGAGAUUGCAUUGAGUGGCACUAGGUGUUCAUGUUGCAAGCCGGUGGUGCUUGUUACUCUUGGAGGUUGCCACCUCCUAGACGGCUUGGUGGCUUGUGACUCCAUCGAAGCACGCAAGGAGAUUGUGUGGUGCUCCGGAGAAGAGAUUGUGAGGGGUACGGUG